AGAAAAGUAAGCUAAUUUAAAGCUAUUGGAUUCAUAAUUCAAACAUAAGUAUUUCUUCUUUUCUA
rnacentral:tRNA from 1 species